GAUGAACGCUGGCGGCGUGCCUAAUACAUGCAAGUCGAGCGAAUGGAUUAAGAGCUUGCUCUUAUGAAGUUAGCGGCGGACGGGUGAGUAACACGUGGGUAACCUGCCCAUAAGACUGGGAUAACUCCGGGAAACCGGGGCUAAUACCGUAUAACAUUUUGAACCGCAUGGUUCGAAAUUGAAAGGCGGCUUCGGCUGUCACUUAUGGAUGGACCCGCGUCGCAUUAGCUAGUUGGUGUGGCAACGGCUCACCAAGGCAACGAUGCGUAGCCGACCUGAGAGGGUGAUCGGCUACACUGGGACUGAGACACGGCCCAGACUCCUACGGGAGGCAGCAGUAGGGAAUCUUCCGCAAUGGACGAAAGUCUGACGGAGCAACGCCGCGUGAGUGAUGAAGGCUUUCGGGUCGUAAAACUCUGUUGUUAGGGAAGAACAAGUGCUAGUUGAAUAAGCUGGCACCUUGACGGUACCUAACCAGAAAGCCACGGCUAACUACGUGCCAGCAGCCGCAGUAA
rnacentral:rRNA from 1 species